GACUUCGUAGCUCAGCUGGUAGAGCAAAUGACUCUUAAUCAUUGGGUCGAGGGUUCGAAUCCCUCCGAGGUCAC
rnacentral:tRNA from 2 species